GGAGCAGUCCAGGAGGAGGUUAGAAAUAGGACUGCCGGGGCUGAGCGAGGGCAGAGGCAGUUCGGUUGGAGCUGUGGUCGGAUGCCUGAGGAGAGGAGAGCGUGAUUGAGGAGAGGACGGACGUCACUGUGUCUGACCGGAGUUAACCCGGGAGCAAAGGAGUGGAGGCGGAGCCGCAAAGCAGCGCUGUCAGCGGCGGCAUAGACAUAUCCGUGUAAGCCUCCAGUAUUAAGGGAAGAGACGCGGGGAGGAGCAAGACAGCGAGACGAGACUCCAGGGAGGAGCUGUACCGUUGGGCAGCCAAGGUCUCCGUGUGACAGUUGAGCGGCCGAGGUCCUCUGGAGAGGGGAGCGGGGACGGAGCAGCCUCCUGAGCCGGGAGAUAUCAUACCGCUGCCUCCGCUGUACUUAAACAUACAAUUAUACUUACCGUCGAAGGGUUCAGCAGGACGUGACUGACCUGGAAAAGAAGAGGAAGGAAUACUUACUGGUGGCGUUGUCUCCACGUCGGAGGAAGAACCUGCAACAAAGUAGUAGAAGGUAUAAAAGCCAGGAGCACUUGAUCUUCUUAACAAGUGAAAAGAGGACCAACAGUGCUGCUCAUUUUAUUGGGAGAUAUAAAACCAGGAUCACGUUACUACCAGAAACUAAAGUCUGCUCAAGGCUUUGAUGAUCCUGUGGUCAUCAACCUUGGUUAUUGCUGAAGGCCAGCGAUGUCCCUGUCUGUUGCUGCCUGCCAUCAUCUUUAAAUGUCAAUGAGAAACUUCAAGUGUAUUUCCACAACUGUAAAAUAUAUCACAUAAUAAUAAGAUAAAGUAAAGCCCACACUGCGUUUCUCAGAAGCUCAAAGGCAGAUCUUUCUGAUAUCAGUGCAACUCUCAACUCAGACCACGAUACGGCAGAGAGGCAAGGAUUGUUCCCACAGACGCUGACAUAAUGGCAGACAGAAUGUAUACAAAGGUUAUUUGCAUAUACUAAUAAUGGCACCAUAUGAUGACUGGAAUGGGUCAGUUUGACUUAAACUAAUCAAUUCUAUAAAUAGUUCACACAUGACCUUCCAUACAAGUUUCAGUAUGCACAUAGGGCGUGAUGCCUAGUUAUACACUGUGCCUGUGUUUUCGCAAUUGGGUGGUUAUUAUUAAACUGUGCA